UUUUUUUUUCCUCUGAU
rnacentral:sRNA from 1 species